rnacentral:lncRNA from 1 species
CCCUCUUGCUGAUGGACCUGUACUCAACCUGCACCUGGCAAGUGCCAGGAGACAGAGCUGCUGGAGGCUGAACCAUGGGACUUGGAGUAGGAUUUGGUCCACAGCAGCUCACUCCAUCCCGACUGUAGCCCUGGUGCUAUAGCUUGGAUCUUGACUGUCCCCCAAAGGCCAAGCGUUAGAGGCUUCUUCGCCAGCUAGGGAGGCCGUGGAACCUCCUGAGUGUGAGGUGAGUUGAGCUUCUGCCCAGACGUACUGAUCCUCCACAGGCCUGGAGCCACAGAGCCACACAGCCAGACGGGAGCCUCUGAAACCGAAAACACCAAUGACAUGAUACAGUCAGUGCAGCAGGAGGCCCUGGAGGUCCAGGGCCCAGGCAUAGCGGCCGAGGACAGGAGUGGAUCCCGUCACCAAGCCGGGCCAGCUGGUCAAGAAUGUGAAGG